rnacentral:rRNA from 1 species
AACGAACGCUGGCGGCAGGCCUAACACAUGCAAGUCGAACGUGAAGCCACCUUCGGGUGGUGGAAAGUGGCAGACGGGUGAGUAACGCGUGGGAACGUGCCUUUCGGUUCGGAAUAACCCAGGGAAACUUGGGCUAAUACCGGAUACGCCCUUCGGGGGAAAGAUUCAUCGCCGAAAGAUCGGCCCGCGUCGGAUUAGCUAGUUGGUAGGGUAAUGGCCUACCAAGGCGACGAUCCGUAGCUGGUCUGAGAGGAUGACCAGCCACACUGGGACUGGGACACGGCCCAGACUCCUACGGGAGGCAGCAGUGGGGAAUAUUGGACAAUGGGCGAAAGCCUGAUCCAGCCAUGCCGCGUGGGUGAAGAAGGCCCUAGGGUUGUAAACCCCUUUCAGCGGGGAAGAUAAUGACGGUACCCGCAGAAGAAGCCCCGGCUAACUCCGUGCCAGCCGCCGCCGUAAGAC